GCCUUAGGUGGGUACCCAUAUCACUAGGUAACUCUUUGUUUCUCUCUCGCUGCCUUCAGCACCCUCUCUUUGUCUUUAACUUUCGCUGCUUUUGGGUUUGUUUUUUUCAGUGUGUCUUGGUGUGAGCCUGUUUGGGUUGGCCUGUGUGGGGGGCCCUGUGCACUUCCUGCCUCUUGAUGUAGUGUUCCUUUAGAUUUGGAAAGUUUUCAGGCAUCAUUGCGUCACAUACGUUUUGUUUCCUUCUCCAGGCUUGACUGUUAUCUUUGUUUCCAUUGCAGCUUGUUUGCCGUGCUCUGUCAGAUUUUGACUGGACAGCGUGCUGCCCCAGUUACACAUAGCUUGUUUGCCGUGCUCUGUCAGAUUUUGACUGGACAGCGUGCUGCCCCAGUUACACAUAGCUUGUUUGCCGUGCUCUGUCAGAUUUUGACUGGACAGCGUGCUGCCCCAGUUACACAUAGGUUUGUGCCUUCUUUUUGCUUAACUUAUCAUGCUUCCUCAGGCGUGACUAGACAGGGUGGCCAGUGCUCCCCAGCAGGAUCUCCUUGCUAAUCCAUUCCAAAGGCAAGAGUGUGUGUCUGUUAACCCUGAGUUCGCAAUGCAUCCCACUCCCUGGCCCUCCUCCUCCCUGGCAACCACAAGCCUAUUGUCCAAGUG
rnacentral:lncRNA from 9 species